rnacentral:pre_miRNA from 1 species
ACAUAACCUGGACCGUCGGUUUACCGAGCAAUUCCACCCGCUCGGUGGAAGAUCGUCUCUUGUAAAA